rnacentral:rRNA from 1 species
GGAUAAGCCUGGGAAACUGGGUCUAAUACUGGAUACUACCUCUUGCCGCAUGGUGGGUGGUGGAAAGGGUUUUACUGGUUUUGGAUGGGCUCACGGCCUAUCAGCUUGUUGGUGGGGUAAUGGCUCACCAAGGCGACGACGGGUAGCCGGCCUGAGAGGGUGACCGGCCACACUGGGACUGAGACACGGCCCAGACUCCUACGGGAGGCAGCAGUGGGGAAUAUUGCACAAUGGGCGGAAGCCUGAUGCAGCGACGCCGCGUGAGGGAUGACGGCCUUCGGGUUGUAAACCUCUUUCAGUAGGGAAGAAGCGAGAGUGACGGUACCUGCAGAAGAAGCGCCGGCUAACUACGUGCCAGCAGCCGCGGUAAUACGUAGGGCGCAAGCGUUGUCCGGAAUUAUUGGGCGUAAAGAGCUCGUAGGCGGUUUGUCGCGUCUGCUGUGAAAGCCCGGGGCUCAACCCCGGGUCUGCAGUGGGUACGGGCAGACUAGAGUGCAGUAGGGGAGACUGGAAUUCCUGGUGUAGCGGUGAAAUGCGCAGAUAUCAGGAGGAAACACCGAUGGCGAAGGCAGGUCUCUGGGCUGUUACUGACGCUGAGGAGCGAAAGCAUGGGGAGCGAACAGGAUUAGAUACCUUCGCUAGUCCAUGCCGUAAACGUUGGGCACUAGGUGUGGGGGACAUUCCACGUUUUCCGCGCCGUAGCUAACGCAUUAAGUGCCCCGCCUGGGGAGUACGGCCGCAAGGCUAAAACUCAAAGGAAUUGACGGGGGCCCGCACAAGCGGCGGAGCAUGCGGAUUAAUUCGAUGCAACGCGAAGAACCUUACCAAGGCUUGACAUUCACCGGACCGCCCCAGAGAUGGGGUUUCCCUUCGGGGCUGGUGGACAGGUGGUGCAUGGUUGUCGUCAGCUCGUGUCGUGAGAUGUUGGGUUAAGUCCCGCAACGAGCGCAACCCUCGUUCUAUGUUGCCAGCACGUGAUGGUGGGGACUCAUAGGAGACUGCCGGGGUCAACUCGGAGGAAGGUGGGGAUGACGUCAAAUCAUCAUGCCCCUUAUGUCUUGGGCUUCACGCAUGCUACAAUGGCCGGUACAAAGGGUUGCGAUACUGUGAGGUGGAGCUAAUCCCAAAAAGCCGGUCUCAGUUCGGAUUGAGGUCUGCAACUCGACCUCAUGAAGUCGGAGUCGCUAGUAAUCGCAGAUCAGCAACGCUGCGGUGAAUACGUUCCCGGGC